CGGACGGGUGAGUAACGCGUGAGAAUCUAGCUUCAGGUUCGGGACAACAUUGGGAAACCGAUGCUAAUACCGGAUGUGCCGAGAGGUGAAAGGCUUGCUGCCUGAAGAAGAGCUCGCGUCUGAUUAGCUAGUUGGUGGUGUAAGGGACUACCAAGGCGACGAUCAGUAGCUGGUCUGAGAGGAUGAUCAGCCACACUGGAACUGAGACACGGUCCAGACUCCUACGGGAGGCAGCAGUGGGGAAUUUUCCGCAAUGGGCGAAAGCCUGACGGAGCAAUACCGCGUGAGCAAGGGGGCUCUUGGGUUGUAAACCUCUUUUCUCAGGGAAUAAGCAAUGAAGGUACCUGAGGAAUCAGCAUCGGCUAACUCCGUGCCAGCAGCCGCGGUAAUACGGAGGAUGCAAGCGUUAUCCGGAAUCAUUGGGCGUAAAGCGUCCGCAGGUGGUAGUUCAAGUCUACUGUCAAAGGCUGUGGCUUAACUACUGACAGGCAGUGGAAACUGAACAGCUAGAGUGCGGUAGGGGUAGAGGGAAUUCCCGGUGUAGCGGUGAAAUGCGUAGAGAUCGGGAAGAACACCAGUGGCGAAAGCGCUCUGCUGGACCUGCACUGACACUGAGGGACGAAAGCUAGGGGAGCGAAUGGGAUUAGAUACCCCAGUAGUC
rnacentral:rRNA from 1 species